UGGCAUGAGGCCCUGUCACAGAGCCUCGGGGAGCCCAGGGCCCUGGAAGUCUCCCACCCAACUCCCACCUCCUGGCAGAGGCUGCGGGGGCGGAGGGGAAGGGGUCCAGAGCCCUGAGAGGAGCAGGAGUGGCAUGCAUGGCCCGUGUGUGUAUAAGUGAGUGAUGGAGGCAAAGGCCAAGUCAUAGGGCCUAGGUGGGUACAACUCUGAGACCCGUUCCCAUUCAUUUCUGGCCUUGUGACAGUGGGCAAGGCACUUCACUCCUUGGAGACCCAACCCUGUCAUAAUAUUCAACAUUUGCAGGGCGCUCUGUGGUUCACUUUGUGACUUCACUGGUAUCCUGAUCUCUACAAUGUUGGGAGGGAUUCUCACAUGCAUUCCACACAUGAGCAGUUGAGGCUCAGCUAGCUGGGCAGCUAGCUGGCAUCACAGCACCCACAUGGGAACGAGCCACAUCUCAAGCCCAGUUCUCAGGUGCUCAGUUCAGCAUCCUGUCUGUAUGCCUACAGCCUCUCCACAGGGACCACUCCCAGGAUCUUGCAAAUCUUGGCAGACUCAAAGGUUUAGGGCAGGGACCAAAAGGAGCAAAAUCAGUGAGAAGAAGACCAGAGCUUCCCCUGCCAACCCUGGACAUGGGAUCUGAGGAUUGCACAGUCCCUGAAAGCUCCCUGGGCACGGCCCCCCUCCUGCCAGGCACCAGCUGCCCUGGGUCCACAGCCUGCCUGGGCACAUGCUGAGCCCCUCCCAGAGGCUGUCCCUGGCCACAGCAGGUGCCAAGGCAGCAGCAUAGUGUGGGCAGGGGGUGGGCAAGCGGGCAGGCCCGGUCCAUCACGCACAUCCCAGCAGCUGUGCCACGAGUCCAGAGCACGCCCUUACCCUUCCAGCCCAGCCUGGCCAUGGCUGCCUCGGCACCUCUAUAGGACAGACGUGCCUGCCUCGAAGGCUGGGGAGCCCAGGGUUUGAUUCUCGUGCCACCCACCCAGCCCUGGUUCUCUCCCAGACCCCAAAUCUUACUCUCCCUGGCUUCCCCUAACCUUCAGGGUUGGGGAGCAUCUCGCCCAUUUGCCGUCCUGGAAAAAUUGCAAAGGGAAUUGGGAAGGGUGGGGCAGGGCUGGAGGAGGAGGCGGCUUUUCCCUUUGUCAGGCUCCUCUGGGGCCGGCAAUGAGGUGAUAAUGCUCCUAAUGGGCCUGGAUAAGCGGGCGGAUCAGUGGUGUCAACAAUAGUGGAGCAGGAAAGGGCUGGAGAGAGGAGAAGCCUGGCCACGCUGGAGAAAUAGAGAACACUUGAGGAGCAGGAUGUCCAGUUUCCGGAACAUUGGGCCUUCUGGGUGGCCUCAUUCUGCUCGGCAUAUGCCAUGGCCACCACGGCCAGGAUCAGAUUGAUGAGGUAGAAAGAGCCCAGGAAGAUGAUGACCACGAAGAAGAUCAUAGCAGGGCAUCGUUGGAGCCCUCCAGGAAGUAGAAGUUCCCUUUGGGAGUCAGAGGCCACAAAGGAGGCAAGUCACCCACAUGGACACAGUGUGAGCACCUGCGCCCAUUGCACACCUGUGGACAGGUCUGCGCGUACCACAUAAACCAAACGGAUGUUCCCUGGCUGCCUCUUCCCCGUCCUUUAAGGACAGCUCCAAGUUCCAAGGUCUCUGGGUAGGGACUCGGCAGGGAGCUCAGCUUGAGCCCUGUCAGCCCAGUGCCCAGUGUGGACGAAAAGUCAUGACGCAGCAGUGGCACAGAGACGGAACGUGUACGUGUGUGCAUGGGGUUAUUGUGUACCUAUGUAGGGCCCCUGAGUGAAGGGUGAGUGGGGGCUGGAAUCCAGGUGCCAGGGUGAGAAGGGUUACCUUUUCCUAAUUUGCAAGAAGGCGCUAUGUAGACUAACAGUGGCUGUGUGAGAAUGUGUGUGUUUCUGGCAUGUGUGCCUGUGAAGAUGCAUAUGUGAAUAGGAUGUGGGUGUGUGGGUGGGUGAUGGUGACCCUGCCAGGAUGUGAGCAUGUGAAAAUGUGGUGUGAUGAAGGAGGACAGGGGGUGCACAGGUUAGGGAGUAGGAACUAUAGACUCUUGCUUUGCAUAGUGAGAGCUUUAGGAUUUUUUUUUUUUUAGACUGAGUUUCACUCUUGUUGCCCAGGCUAGAG
rnacentral:lncRNA from 1 species